UGGAUCCAGACUUUGAUUAUGGCUCAGGAUGAACGCUAGCUACAGGCUUAACACAUGCAAGUCGAGGGGAAACGACAUCGAAAGCUUGCUUUUGAUGGGCGUCGACUGGCGCACGGGUGAGUAACGCGUAUCCAACCUGCCCACCACUUGGGGAUAACCUUGCGAAAGUAAGACUAAUACCCAAUGAUAUCUCUAGAAGACAUCUGAAGGAGAUUAAAGAUUUAUCGGUGAUGGAUGGGGAUGCGUCUGAUUAGCUUGUUGGCGGGGUAACGGCCCACCAAGGCGACGAUCAGUAGGGGUUCUGAGAGGAAGGUCCCCCACAUUGGAACUGAGACACGGUCCAAACUCCUACGGGAGGCAGCAGUGAGGAAUAUUGGUCAAUGGACGAGAGUCUGAACCAGCCAAGUAGCGUGCAGGAUGACGGCCCUAUGGGUUGUAAACUGCUUUUAUAAGGGAAUAAAGUGAGUCUCGUGAGACUUUUUGCAUGUACCUUAUGAAUAAGGACCGGCUAAUUCCGUGCCAGCAGCCGCGGUAAUACGGAAGGUCCGGGCGUUAUCCGGAUUUAUUGGGUUUAAAGGGAGCGUAGGCCGGAGAUUAAGCGUGUUGUGAAAUGUAGACGCUCAACGUCUGCACUGCAGCGCGAACUGGUUUCCUUGAGUACGCACAAAGUGGGCGGAAUUCGUGGUGUAGCGGUGAAAUGCUUAGAUAUCACGAAGAACUCCGAUUGCGAAGGCAGCUCACUGGAGCGCAACUGACGCUGAAGCUCGAAAGUGCGGGUAUCGAACAGGAUUAGAUACCCUGGUAGUCCGCACGGUAAACGAUGGAUGCCCGCUGUUGGUCUGAAUAGGUCAGCGGCCAAGCGAAAGCAUUAAGCAUCCCACCCUGGGGAGUACGCCGGCAACGGUGCAACUCA
rnacentral:rRNA from 1 species